UGUUUGCACUUAGCGGGAAGGGUAAGAACCUUCGACUAAGGUUCGACUCGAGCGCCAGCGAGAGAACGUUGCCGCAGGCAACGGCCCGAAGG
rnacentral:sRNA from 1 species